GGCUCCUGGGCGGCUGCCGCGGAGCCGGGGCCGGGCACGAUGUCGGCCGGGCUGGGGCCGUGGCUGCUGGCCUUGGCCUUGGCCUUGUGGCCGGCAGGGCUCUGGGCACAGCUGAGGCUGCAGGAGGCCGGCGGAGGGCUGCGAGCGGCCGGGGACUCCGUGACCCUCUCCUGCCGCGGGUCCGGCUUCACCUUCAAGGAUUAUUAUAUUUACUGGUUCCGUCAGGCACCCGGAGGCAGCCUGCAGUGGAUAUCCUUUAUCAGCACGGGCAGUAUAGAGGACUACGGGGCAGCAGUGAAGGGUCGGGCCAAGAUUUCCCGGGACAAUUCCCAGUCCGAGGCUUAUCUGUCAUUGCGGCCCCUGCAACCUCAGGACUCUGCCCGGUACUUCUGUGCCCGUCACACGGGGACAGGAAAUGUAGAUGAGCUUUAACACAAACCUCCCGGGGUCUGGCAGAGGUUGCGCUAGAUGUCGGGAAGGUGAGAGCUGCCGGGGACCGGCAGCCGAUGGGUCUCAGGUCUGCUCCCAAGAAGUCAGGUGCCAUCACUGUGCACCACAGACGUUCCUGGCCGUCACUGCACACUGCAGGGAUUCUGAUUUAUUGCAAAUUUCGUUAAGAGUAGAAUUGUGAGCAACUCUAAAAUACCUUAUCCCCAAUUUGUUCCUGUUUCUUCCCAGCCUCAUCCUCAAUGCUGCAUUCCUGAAUUCUCUAGCUGUUCUCUCCAAAAAUCAAAGGGAAAAGGGGGAAUCAGGUGUGGGGUCAUUUCUUAACACUUAAUCACUGGUCUUCAUCUCUACUGUUUCUGCUCCCUACCUCAGUCUGCAGUCAAAUGGUUCCACCAUGGUUCCUUCACAACAACUGCUGUCCUUCAAAAUCAACCCUCUCCAGCCUGGAUUCUCCACAGGCUCCACUUCCCCAGUGGCAUGACCAAAUAGUUUGUGAAUAUCUCCAAACAUGGAGACUUCAGAAGGUGCCUGGACAACCUUUGGCACUGGUUGGUCACCCUCAUGCUGUGAAAAAGUGUUUCCUGAUGUUCAGUGAGAACCUCCCGUGAUUUUUUGUUUGUGCUCAUUGAUCAUUGUCCUGUCGAUGGGCAGCACUGAGAAGAGCCUGGCCAUGUUUCCUUGUGUUUCUGUAUAUUUAUGACAACCCCAACCAGCUUCUGUAUCUCCAGGGUAAGUAAACAGGGCCACCUCUGACAGCCUUUUUAACUUGGAGAGAUGUUCCACUUCAACAGAUGAAAACCAAAAAAGCUGAGGCUACAAGACAAGCAAAAUGAAGAAUUCAUGCCCUACUUCUCCAUCAACAGGCAGGUGUUUAGCCAUUUCCAGGAAAAAUGGUCUUUCUCACACAGAAUGAUUCCUUGGGAAGACAAAGGUUGUCAUUCCAAAUGACCCCUUUCCUCCUUUCCCUGAGCUUUAUUUCUGAGAACCCUUUCUUACAGUACGGAAUGCUCCUUCGCUUGGUUGGCAAUAGUGGUGCUGCUACGUCCCACCCCAGCUUAUUGCCCACCACCAGCCACUCACUGGCGAGACUGUGGGAGAAACCAAAAAAGGCCUCUGAGCACUGUUGAGGAAGAGGAUAAAGAGCCUCGUAUAUAACGCUGUUUGCUCACAAAGAGAAAACAAAGCCCCGCACGCUGCUGUCUCUCGUCCCUUCUUGCACCGCCCCGUGUCCUGCUCGGGGCCCGGGGCGGGUGUGCCGGGGGCGGGCAGAGGCGCCGGCGCUGCCCCGGCGAGGCGGGGCCGGGCGGGAGCGGCCCGAGCGCGGCUCCGCUCGGCUCCUGGGCGGCUGCCGCGGAGCCGGGGCCGGGCACGAUGUCGGCCGGGCUGGGGCCGUGGCUGCUGGCCUUGGCCUUGGCCUUGUGGCCGGCA